CCCUUAGAUGUCCGGGGCCGCACGCGCGCUACACUGAAUGAAUCAGCGAGUCUAUCCUGGGCCGAAAGGUCUGGGUAACCCGGUGAACCUCAUUCGUGAUUGGGAUAGGGACUUGCAAUUGUUUCCCUUGAACGAGGAAUUCCCAGUAAGCGCAAGUCAUCAACUUGUGUUGAUUACGUCCCUGCCCUUUGUACACACCGCCCGUCGCUACUACCGAUUGGGUGUGCUGGUGAAAUGUUCGGAUCGGCCGUUUGUCGCGGUUUCCGCGUCAUGUGGCUGAGAAGUUCAUUAAACCCUCCCACCUAGAGGAAGGAGAAGUCGUAACA
rnacentral:rRNA from 1 species